GGAGUUAGCCGGUGCUUCUUCUGUGAGUGAUGUCCUUCCUGCCGGCUAUUAACCCGCAGGCCUUCUUCCUCACUGAAAGUGCUUUACAACCCGAAGGCCUUCUUCACACACGCGGCAUGGCUGGAUCAGGGUUGCCCCCAUUGUCCAAUAUUCCCCACUGCUGCCUCCCGUAGGAGUCUGGGCCGUGUCUCAGUCCCAGUGUGGCUGAUCAUCCUCUCAGACCAGCUACGGAUCGUCGCCUUGGUGAGCCGUUACCUCACCAACCAGCUAAUCCGACAUAGGCUCAUCCGAUAGCGCGAGGCCCGAAGGUCCCCCGCUUUCCCCCGUAGGGCGUAUGCGGUAUUAGCCUGGGUUUCCCCAGGUUAUCCCCCACUACCGGGCAGAUUCCUAUGCAUUACUCACCCGUCCGCCGCUCGCCACCAGGGAGCAAGCUCCCCGUGCUGCCGCUCGACUUGCAUGUGUUAGGCCUGCCGCCAGCGUUCAAUCUGACACANACACUACUNANACGAGACGGCGGUGUCGACGACGGCGACUAG
rnacentral:rRNA from 1 species